CCUACGAUGUGCAGCAGUGGGGACUAUUGCGCAAUGGGCGAAAGCCUGCCGCAGCGACGCCGCGUGAGGGAUGAAGGUCUUCGUAUCGUAAACCUCUGUCAGCAGGGAAGAACGGUCACUGUGCUAAUCAGCAGUGAAUUGACGGUACCUGCAAAGGAAGCACCGGCUAACUCCGUGCCAGCAGCCGCGGUAAUACGGAGGGUGCGAGCGUUAAUCGGAAUUACUGGGCGUAAGGCGCUCGUAGGCGGUAUGUCAAGUCAAGGGUGAAAUCCCCGCGCUCAACGUGGGAACUGCCUUUGAAACUGGCAAACUGGAGUGUGUGAGAGGAUAGUGGAAUUCCAGGUGUAGGAGUGAAAUCCGUAGAUAUCUGGAGGAACAUCAGUGGCGAAGGCGACUAUCUGGCACAUAACUGACGCUGAGGAGCGAAAGCGUGGGUAGCAAACAGGAUUAGAUACCCUUGUAGUC
rnacentral:rRNA from 1 species